GCAGAUACGUACAUUAUCAUUGGCAAAUACUGUUGACCGACAUGAAAAUAGUACAGUUUAUAAAUAAUGAACAAAUUGUCUUCGGAAACAUCAAAGCCAAGCCUGUCUCAGCUGUUCUUUAUUUCUUUGUGUAUCGGUCAGAACCACCUCCUAACUUCUCCAUCUCCAGUGUUUAUAUACACGCACAGAACUAAUACUAAUACUAAUUUGAUUUGGAGGGGACUUGAGGCGUUGAUGCAGUUCAUAGUAGCUAUGCACCAAAACCUACGAGAUCAAGGGGCAACAACUCUCAGUCUCACCUAAAAGGAAUAUUUUACCACAAGCGAUCGAUUAGCUCAGCACCUGCUGCAGUAGUGCAGUGCCAGUGCACUCACGGCUCACCUACCUGCGCAUGCAGUGCCGGUGCUUGCGAGCAACCGCCGGAGCCGGACGCUGCAAAUAAAGUUCCUCGGCCCCGAUCGACGUCGUCGUCCCAGGUGGAAACAUGACCGAUUACACCCCGCCGCGGAAGGGGCGGAUCUCGGCCGGCGCCGACGCCGGCGCUGACGCACUCGAGGAGGCGUGGCUGGUGUCGGAGCCGCCGGCGAAGAAGCCCCACGGAAGGGCGGCGGCGUGGGGCGUCACCGUCAGCUUCGGCCUCCGCCGCGGCCACUUCAACUCGUUCGUGCUGCUGCUCCUCGUCUUGUUCGUCGUCCUCGCCGUUUCUGUCACCACCACCAAGAACGACAGCGGUGGCGGCCGGGGGCACCGGCGGGGGCCGCGGCGGCCGGGGGCAACGGCGGGGCGCGCAGCGGCGGGCCGGCCGGGGGGGCGUGGUGGGCGGGCGGGCGCGAAAUGCGGCGGGCGCGUGGAGGGGCAGGAGAACGAUGAGGCGGCCGCGGGCGAGCAACGUCGGGUGGGUGUUUUGUUUCAGUACCUCGGCGCCGUGAUCUGCGGCGCCGAGCUCGGCGCCGUGAUCUGUGGCGCCGAGCUCCCUGCCACGUCAGAUCCACGUCAGAUCCACGUUAGAAGGCAGCCAGGC
rnacentral:lncRNA from 1 species